rnacentral:rRNA from 1 species
ACCAUGCAAGUCCGAGCGAUGAAGCACCUUCGGGUGUGAAUUAGCGGCGAACGGGUGAGGAACACGUGAAGAAUCUGCCUUCAACUCUGGGAUAACUCCGGGAAACCGGGGCUAAUACCGGAUAUGAGCCUUGAUCGCAUGAUCGGGGCUGGAAAGUUUUUCGGUUGAAGAUGACUUCGCGGCCUAUCAGCUUGUUGGUGAGGUAAUGGCUCACCAAGGCGACGACGGGUAGCCGGCCUGAGAGGGCGACCGGCCACACUGGGACUGAGACACGGCCCAGACUCCUACGGGAGGCAGCAGUGGGGAAUAUUGGGCAAUGGAGGAAACUCUGACCCAGUGACGCCGCGUGAGGGAUGAAGGCCUUCGGGUUGUAAACCUCUUUCAGUAGGGAAGAAGCGAAAGUGACGGUACCUACAGAAGAAGCACCGGCUAACUAUGUGCCAGCAGCCGCGGUAAUACAUAGGGUGCAAGCGUUGUCCGGAAUUAUUGGGCGUAAAGAGCUCGUAGGUGGUUCGAUACGUCGGAUGUGAAAAUCAGGGGCUCAACCCCUGACCUGCAUCCGAUACGGUCGAGCUAGAGUUUGGUAGGGGAGACUGGAAUUCCUGGUGUAGCGGUGGAAUGCGCAGAUAUCAGGAGGAACACCGAUGGCGAAGGCAGGUCUCUGGGCCAAUACUGACACUGAGGAGCGAAAGCGUGGGGA